rnacentral:rRNA from 1 species
AACGCUAGCUACAGGCUUAACACAUGCAAGUCGAGGGGCAGCAUGAACUUAGCUUGCUAAGUUUGAUGGCGACCGGCGCACGGGUGAGUAACACGUAUCCAACCUGCCGAUGACUCGGGGAUAGCCUUUCGAAAGAAAGAUUAAUACCCGACGGCAUAAUUCUUCCGCAUGGUAGAACUAUUAAAGAAUUUCGGUCAUCGAUGGGGAUGCGUUCCAUUAGGUUGUUGGCGGGGUAACGGCCCACCAAGCCUUCGAUGGAUAGGGGUUCUGAGAGGAAGGUCCCCCACAUUGGAACUGAGACACGGUCCAAACUCCUACGGGAGGCAGCAGUGAGGAAUAUUGGUCAAUGGACGAGAGUCUGAACCAGCCAAGUAGCGUGAAGGAUGACUGCCCUAUGGGUUGUAAACUUCUUUUAUACGGGAAUAAAGUGAGGCACGUGUGCCUUUUUGUAUGUACCGUAUGAAUAAGGAUCGGCUAACUCCGUGCCAGCAGCCGCGGUAAUACGGAGGAUCCGAGCGUUAUCCGGAUUUAUUGGGUUUAAAGGGAGCGUAGGCGGACGCUUAAGUCAGUUGUGAAAGUUUGCGGCUCAACCGUAAAAUUGCAGUUGAUACUGGGUGUCUUGAGUACAGUAGAGGCAGGCGGAAUUCGUGGUGUAGCGGUGAAAUGCUUAGAUAUCACGAAGAACUCCGAUUG